AACGCGAAGAACCUUACCUGGGCUUGAUAUCCUAAGAACCUUUUAGAGAUAAGAGGGUGCUAGCUUGCUAGAACUUAGAGACAGGUGCUGCACGGCUGUCGUCAGCUCGUGUCGUGAGAUGUUGGGUUAAGUCCCGCAACGAGCGCAACCCACGUAUUUAGUUGCUAACGGUUCGGCCGAGCACUCUAAAUAUACUGCCUUCGUAAGGAGGAGGAAGGUGUGGACGACGUCAAGUCAUCAUGGCCCUUAUGCCCAGGGCGACACGCGUGCUACAAUGGCAUAUACAAUGAGACGCAAUAUCGCAAGAUGGAGCAAAUCUAUAAAAUAUGUCCCAGUUCGGAUUGUUCUCUGCAACUCGAGAGCAUGAAGCCGGAAUCGCUAGUAAUCGUAGAUCAGCCAUGCUACGGUGAAUACGUUCCCGGGUCUUGUACACACGC
rnacentral:rRNA from 1 species